CUACACGCGGACUGCAAACGUGCAUUCUUGCGCUUCCUUUCACUUUCUCUGUAACAUCGCCGUGAAAGACUCGCCCCCUUCCCUCCCCCUCCCCCAGUUGUGGCACCACUCAGAACUAGAGGCGAGGCAGCGACGCACCUGCGGGCUAGAUGAGAGGACAUCAUCUGCAUGAUCGCCGCGACAACAGCGGCGGCAAUGCCUACAAGGUGAACUGCCGUUGCCUGAACGUGCACGCCCACCCAGAGCCAACGAAGGGGUUCAGUGAGAAGUGUAUGAUGUGCUGCGGCUACUCCAUUCCCGUCUUUGUCGCGAUUAUGAUCAUGGCGCUCGCGCUUGCAAGUGAUGCCUACAGCAUCCGUUUGAUUGCUCUGCACCGACACGAUGCCUGGCGCAUCAUCGUGUGCUUAGUCGUGCUCGUCUUGACAACCGUCAUGGGCCUUCUCGUACUAUGGUCUUACUACGCCGUCAUCUUCGUCUCUCCAGGCUUUGUGCCACAUGAUCCGUGGGCGCAUCCGCCCUCGUACGCCGGCCCCUCACUCCGCCCACACGGCGGAGUCGAACAGGCCUUUGUUCCGCAGCUUUAUCAAUACCCCCCGCAGCAGCAGCUGCACCCGCCAGGGCCGCAGCAGCCACAUGCGGGCUCGCCCGGCUCACUGGCGACGCGGUCUUCUAGUCUGUCGGGCGUCAGUCGACCACAAACAACCAACAACGUGCUUGUACCUGCUCCUUCCGACGGCACGGACGGCGCCAGCUCACUGCGCGCCGGCCACCCAAAGUCCCCGCCGGUCAUCGCUUCUGUCGCCGAGGCUGAUAACGGUGCAUGCACUCCGUUGCGGACUGCCGGCAAUACCGGUGCUCCUCGCGGUGGCGACGGCAGCGAUGCGAUCAUUGUUCACGUUGAUGAGGCGUCGCCGACACGCUUUCAGCACGCCAGACCGCCUGACUACUUUACUGCCCCACUCGCAGGAUCACCAGAGCAGCAGCAGCACCCCAACCCGCCCAUGUGUCUGAACCCGUACAAGGUUACAACGCUGGACCGUAGCGGGCGCCUGCGUUUCUGCCACGUAUGUCAUCUUUACAAGCCAGACGGCGCCCACCAUUGCAGUGUCUGCGGCCGGUGUGUGUAUAACUUCGAUCAUCACUGCCCCUUCGUGAACAACUGCGUUGGCCGCAAUAACUACAAGCUGUUUGUGGUCUUCUUGCUCUACAGCAGCGUCGGCGCGACUCUGGGGGGCUGCCUCAUGCUCGUUACGAUCUUCGCCGUCGACAAAGACGCAUUCAUGGAUAAGCUGAUGUGGAUAGCGGUGCCCGCGUUGGAUUUGGUUUUCGGUGCCUCGCUGUUGAUGUUCUACAGCCAACACCGCCUUCUUCUGAGCAACGGGCAGAGCACGUUGGAGAGUCUCAUUGAAUCUCAAAAAGAUCCCUGUUCGGGGAGUUGCUGUACCUGCAAGCGCCCUCGGCUCACCCCGGAGCAGAAGGAAGAGGCUGCGCGGCAGCGCAAGGAAAAGAUCGAGCGGCACCAACGCACGCUGAUGGGCAAGGAGUCGCCAUUCUGGCGGAGAUAUGCCCCGCUGCCGGUGCGCACAGACGACACCGCAGAUGAUACCGUGCCGGGGACGGUCUGAUGGUGUGGGGAGGGCUAGUCCCCCUGCAUGGACAUGAGCAUAUCUGCGCUGUAUGUGUGCCACGAUUCACCGGCACGGUUGUGCGCGUUCACCCUCCCCCUCCACCGAGCUCGAUACUGCGGCGGCCUGCCGAUCACCCGUGGCUCUUUGUGCUCCCGCAGCCCCGGAGGCUCUCCGGACUCGAAAAAUAUACUGUCUUCUUGUGCUGCGUAGUUGCUGCCUCUGUUUGUUGCUUGAUGCGCGUGCGGGCGUGUGGGCGUGCUUCCUCUCCUGAAGGAGCCCGCGCCGCCGUGCUGUCUUUGUGUUAUGCCGCUGAGAACGUGUUUUCUUUCUUUUUUUGUCGCUCUUCCUUGCUGGCACGUGUGUCUGUGUAGACUUCAUGGCGCUGCAGUGACGCAUGUUGCCAUGACAGGGUACUGUGCCAUGCGCUAAGUGUCUCAACGCAUUACCUCACCAUCAACGCAGCACGCCGACGCAAUGCACAACCACAGCUCACCCACCACUGCUGCACUGCGGCUGAGCCCAGGUCGUCUAGGACGAGCCGUUCUGCCGUCGAGUCGGCCCGUGGCGCUGACGAGCUCUUCCGGUCCCUCCUCCUCCCUUCUUCGCAUGCGUGCUGCGCGAUCAGCGCCACAUGGGCCUGGGCGCACUGCACGCUUCAACCCACGCGGGCCGCGCCCAGGGGCCUGGUUGAGGGGCGGAAGCGGUGGCUUCCGUCGUGCGGGCAGCAGGGGCUGGUGGCCCGGGCGCAUGCCACGUGAGCCCAGGGAGGAGGUUGGCCAGCUGCAGGCCAGGGCCCACUGAGAUCCUGCACUCGGUCCGUACGCUGUGCCACGUCCGCUGAGUUGCUUCAAGCCGCGGCAUCCCACAGCGUGGCGCGGUGACUCGCCACAUGAGCGCUUCACUGGCUCGACGGCCUCAUUCGGGGUGUUGUCGUCACGCUUCCGGCAUCUGUGCCUCAUCAGCCCACUCGGUCGGGAUGUAGAAGAUGCUGCAUACUUCGCACACAUGCACUGUGGAGUUGACUCGCACGGACCUCUUCGUGCCUCUUCCGUGCAUCCCUCGUGCUCUGCUCACGUGUGGAGGCUUUCUUCGGAUGGGACGCGCCAUGCCAGCGAUGGGUGAAAGCGCCUGCACACAGCUCAUCGCGUGCUUAUUUUUGCUGAAUCCUCGAGACGGUCUGUGCUGAGCGGGCACAAGAGCGGUC
rnacentral:misc_RNA from 1 species